GACCUCGGAUCAGGUAGGGAUACCCGCUGAACUUAAGCAUAUCAAUAAGCGGAGGAAAAGAAACCAACAGGGAUUACCUCAGUAACGGCGAGUGAAGCGGUAACAGCUCAAAUUUGAAAUCUGGCUCUUUCAGGGUCCGAGUUGUAAUUUGUAGAAGAUGCUUUGAGCAUUGCUCCGGUCUAAGUUCCUUGGAACAGGACGUCAUAGAGGGUGAGAAUCCCGUAUGUGACUGGUGGCAUUUGUUCGUGUAAAGCUCUUUCGACGAGUCGAGUUGUUUGGGAAUGCAGCUCAAAAUGGGUGGUAUAUUUCAUCUAAAGCUAAAUAUUGGCCAGAGACCGAUAGCGCACAAGUAGAGUGAUCGAAAGAUGAAAAGCACUUUGGAAAGAGAGUUAAACAGUACGUGAAAUUGUUGAAAGGGAAGCGC
rnacentral:rRNA from 1 species